rnacentral:lncRNA from 1 species
ACCACCACGCUAGGCCAGGAUUUCAACAUAUGAAAUUCAGGGGGACACACAUUCAGACCAUAGCACCUGUAAACACUGAAACAGCUGGGAAUGAUUCAAAUAGCUAGUACUAGAGUCAUCUGGAGGCUUCUUCACUCGUGUCUAGUAUGACUCAAUGUCUUGGGUCAGCUGGGAUUGUCAAAUCUCACACCUGCACAUGACCUCUCCUUGUUGUUUGGGUUUCUCACAGCUUGGUGCUGGCUUCCAAGAGAGUAUCCCAAGAGCAAGUAUGCCAAGAGGGUCCAGUGGCUGCUGUAUUUUCCUUUCUUUCCUUUGGAAGUCAUGCAGCAUCACUUCAGCCAUAUCCAACUGAUUACCAUCAACUCACUCAGCCCGCCCAGAUUCAAGGGGAGGGGAAUUACCCUCUACCUCUUGAUGGAAGCGUGGCAAGUUCAUAUUGCAGAACAGUACGUGAGAUGGGGGCUAGUGUAGCCACUUUUGGAAAAUACAGUAUCCCAACAGGAUUUUCCUAUUCUAAGCAUUUCGUCUCAUUGGAACUGUGUGAUACAUGGUCUUUUGUGUCUGUGGAGCUCUUAUUUUAACACAAGGCAAAUGCCCCUAAACUAAGUGCUUUGCAAAGGUGACCUCACUAUACCUUUAUGAGAUGAGGACUAUAAUAUCCCCAUUUUACAGAUGGGAAACACAGAAAGGUUCAAUAACUUGCUGCAAGUCCCAGCUAGUGAGUGGCGGAGCCAGAUUUUGAACCCUUGUCCCUGGCACUGCUAAACUGUAUGCAAAUGAAUGUCUUUUAGAGACAGGGUUUCAUCUCCUCUAUCUACAGUAAGAAAAUGGAAGUCUAUGAUGCAUUCAUAGCUAUUUAUUGAGCCCCUACAAUGUGCCAGACACUGCUACAUCAGAGCCACAGAUUAGGCAAGAAGAAAGGUAAUUAAACCAAUAAUGGGAAUUCCCUGCAUCAGGCCUUGGGAUAGAGGUCUCUGUGCAUUGAGAGCUGUGGGAAUAGAGGGAUGAAGGCAUCUGUUCAGGGCACGCAGCCCAGGGCCCGAGCCAACCUUUCUAUCUCUGCCAUUAGCAAAGCACACCCCCAGAUGUGAACUCUUAGGGUUCGUUGCCGCCCUCCUUCAAUGCCCCCAGGGCCUGCCGGGGAAAGGUGCCUGGCUUCACCUGGCCUGUCAGGGUCCAGGCAGAGAAUCCUGCCCUGGCAGUGGCUGUCAAGGCCCUGCCUUAAUCUCUCAGGUAGGCAAGCAGCUGCUUCCUCCUGACUGCAGGGCAGGGCGGAGCUGCCAGCCCAGUGUUUCUGGCCCACUCAGGGCCUUUCUUUUCUUACAAAGACUGCUGUGUUGGAUCUGUUUUUCUAAGUCAGAUAGUUAUUUGAUUUCCACCUCAGAACUCAGUGCCAGCAUUCAGUGUUGCCAGCCUCACCGCCACCGGCCAUGGUGCGAGAAGGAAUUCGGGUUCCUGGAACAUGGUCAGAGAAUGCACUCCUUGAUUCAGUCUCCACCUGUGCUGCUCACUCCACGAACAAGGAUGGUGGCAGGAGUUGUGGUGCAGUGGCUCACACCUAUAAUCCCAGCACUUUGAGAGGC